AACUUUAUAGUCAUUAAUAAAAUGAUAUUAGACUGCAAUUCUAAAGGAAUAAAUUUUUAUUAAAGUUU
rnacentral:tRNA from 1 species